rnacentral:rRNA from 1 species
GCAUAUCAAUAAGCGGAGGAAAAGAAACUAACAAGGAUUCCCCUAGUAACGGCGAGUGAAGCGGGAAGAGCUCAAAUUUGUAAUCUGGCCCUUUCAGGGUCCGAGUUGUAAUCUCGAGAAGUGUUUUCCGCGCCGGACUGCAUACAAGUCUGUUGGAAUACAGCGUCAUAGUGGUGAGAGCCCCGUAACUGAUGCAGAUGCCCGGUGCUUUGUGAUACACUUUCGAAGAGUCGAGUUGUUUGGGAAUGCAGCUCAAAUUGGGUGGUAAAUUCCAUCUAAAGCUAAAUAUUGGCGAGAGACCGAUAGCGAACAAGUACCGUGAGGGAAAGAUGAAAAGCACUUUGGAAAGAGAGUUAACAGUACGUGAAAUUGUUGGAAGGGAAACGCUUGAAGUCAGACUUGCUAUUCGGAAUUCAGCCGCAAGGUGUACUUUUCGAUUUGCAGGCCAGCAUCAGUUUUUGGGGGUGGAAAAGGGUGGAGAGAAGGUAGCAACCUCGGUUGUGUUAUAGCUCUUUACUGGAUUCAUCUUUGGGGACUGAGGAUCGCAGUGCGCAAUUCAUUUUGCAAACCUUUCGAGGUUUUCGUACUUAGGAUGCUGGUGGAAUGGCUUUAAACGACCCGUCUUGAAACACGGACC